AGUCUCUGUAACUAACUAAACACUAGCUGUUGGUAAAGAUGUUAUCUGAAAAUCUGAGACUGCUUUGGGGAAGUUCGCCAGGUGCUAUUCAGACAAAUACAUUACUUAGGUUUCUAGAUCUUGCAUUUAUGAACUGAUGAUAAGAUUAUUACUGUCACCGAUGGAAGAUCUUGGUCCACAGAAGUCCCAACGAUAUUGGAAUGUUUUCUACAUUCCAAUAAAGAAAUAAAGAUGCUCUGUAUUCCGAAGCACUGUUGUCAUUUGACAUCUCAACAAAAGAACUGGAUCCCAACAGACCAGUGAGAAAGCACAGAGGAGGUUGUUAGCAAAUGGCUCCGAAAGUUUCACAACAGCACUAAGGGAGCUAAGGGUGGAGAGCCAGGAAGCAGAAAGCGUAAACAUCAGGCCUCAAAUGUUAGUUAUGUGUGCACAAAUCGGACGGGCCUGCUCUACAGAUCUAUCAAGCUAGGAAACCAGCAAAGCUUCAGUAUUUGAGCAAACUCAGACCUGGCUUCCCUCCCUCCGGCCCUGGUUCUGGACAAAGGGGACGCACGCUGGACUCUAGCUGUGGAACGAACUGGUAUCACUAACUCCUACAAGAAGUGCUCUGCCUCCUGCCAUACCGCAGUCUCACAGGCAGGUCCUCUCCAAGAGAGCCACAACUGGCCCGGGUGUGUCUCCACGAGAAAGAAGGAACCUUUACAUCGUGGACACCUCUGGACCCCAAAACACAGGCUACUCCUUCGAGCCGGAAUCGAACCAGCGACCUAAGGAUGGCUGCCCAGGAAAUCUACAGUCCUCCGCUCUACCAGCUGAGCUAUCGAAGGAAAGCACGAGCUGUGUUCUCCUGACUGCCGUAUUCAGAGGCCAUAGACACCGCCGACUUUAGCCGAACAAGUGCCGGGCUGCUGGAGAAACCUGCUAGAGCCGGAUUCCGCGCGCCCCCGGGAUGGGCAUGCGCGUGCGCGUGCGUGAGAGCGCGCUGGCGGAGGACCGCACCCGAGAACCCUGAACGCGGUCCCGGGCACGCGGGAUGAUCCUCGUCCCGGGCGGGGCAGUGCGCUGGCUGCAGGAGAAGCGGGGUUUCAGAAUUCCCCGCGGCUCCACGCCUCUCCGUGAGCAGUGUCCGGCCUGCCCCGCGUGCGGAGCGGGUGCUCGGGAGCGGAGUCUGUCCCCUGCCCGCCCUGCGUCCUCUUCGCCGCGGGGAGCGGGUGCGCGCAGCCAGGGAGCGCGAAGGGGGCUCGGUUCAGCCGGGCAGCAGAGCCGCCCUGCCGCGUUAGGACAGGAACAAAAGGAGCCAGUGGCCGAUUACCCACGAGCCUUGAGAAACUAGGAAUAGCCACUGGCUUCAGGUUAAAUGAAGUGCGACGAGGAGCAAGAAGUUUUCUUUGAUAUCAAAAUUGAUUGCUAUAGGCCCCAGCGAGAUUUGAACUCGCGACCCCUGGUUUACAAGACCAGUGCUCUAACCCCUGAGCUAUAGGGCCCCACAGACUUCUAGCCUCUUUCUUUCCUAGAAAGGGAAAUAUUCUCUGACUUUUCAGUAGUCUGGAAAGCAAGCAAAAUCUAGAUCGUAUUUUAUCCCAUAUCCACACACAGUGUUGAAAUGCAGCCUACUGACUCUUCCUGGUCUCACUGAGAAUAGCUUAGUGGUGGACGCAGACAAGGACCAAUACUACCCUAAAACUGGAGAAAUGUGACCAUCCCACACCGAGUAAUACGUUAAAGAUUCCCCCUCCCUCUUCAUUUUGUUCCUUCCUUCAUUCAGCAAACACCGAAUUCCAAUUCUGUGUCAAAUUCUACAGAAAGAACUAGGGAUUCAGAUCGUCAAUCCGAGUCACUGUCACAGUUUGCAGAACGGGGCUGCAAUUUUCAAGAAAGUGCAAUGAAAAGUAGGUAUACCAAGUGUGACUUUCAAGUGACCUUUGGGGGGGCCUUAGGAGGCGGGAGUUAAGUUUCAAGAUGAGAGGAGGUUGAGAUUUGGACCAGUUGGGGACAAGGAGAUCCUUAGUAGAAGAAAAAUGAGCAAAAUCCAAGGAAGACCAUUAAGAGUGGUUAGAUCUCCGCCCUUUUCCAGGUGACAAGAGAUGAGAAGACACGUUAGAGGGAGACAGGAAUGAUGUGUAGACCCCUUCAGAAAACAGAAAUGGAAAUCCACCAAGUAAACUGGAAGGAGGAGAAACCAGAGUCGGGAACACCAGAGAUGCUCGGACAUAAAGCUGCAAACUGUUAACUCUUCUGGGGCUACAGGGAAAGGAUGGGAGAUAAGGGAAGAAGUCACUGAGAUUAAAUAUGAAAUCAGUCAAGAGAGAAAAAAAAAAACAAAACAAAAGACGAUGAUACCUGCAAGGGGGCGGGGGGGGGCAAGGAAGUUUGCGUCUAUAGGAUGUCUGGAAAAGACAGGGGUGCAGGAACAGUAGGGUGCAGGUGGACGAAACAGGUGAGCAGGGUGCACGUCCCGGGAAUUAUAUAGUAGCCAGAACAUGUCCCUGUUUAGAGUCCAGAGGACUAAGGUUAAGGUUAGAUCAAAUUACAAAUUACCUAAGUCUAGGAG